AGGCCUGCAGAGAGAGAGGCAGGGUCUUAUCCCCCGCCUCCGUGGCAGCUGUUGAUUAGUCAUUGCCUCUCUCUUUCUCUCCU
rfam:Myotis davidii contig161629, whole genome shotgun sequence.